rnacentral:rRNA from 1 species
GACAGAGGGUGCAAACGUUGCUCGGAAUUACUGGGCGUAAAGGGCGCGCAGGCGGCUCUGAAAGUCAGAUGUGAAAGCCCCGGGCUUAACCUGGGAACUGCAUUUGAUACUCUAGAGCUUGAGUACGGGAGAGGAGAGUGGAAUUCCCAGUGUAGAGGUGAAAUUCGUAGAUAUUGGGAAGAACACCGGUGGCGAAGGCGGCUCUCUGGACCGUAACUGACGCUGAGGCGCGAAAGCGUGGGGAGCAAACAGG